rnacentral:misc_RNA from 1 species
GCUAAAGUUCAAGUGUAGACAUCUAUUCUAGGCAAAACAUCAAAGUCUACAUCAAUAUUGUUUCAGUUCUGAAAAUUGAAAACCUUUCACUUCUCGAAAUAUGAAUUGCAUCCUCACUUCCAGCUCGACGGCCAGAAAGUAUGAACCCCAUAACCAGUCUUCCAAUUGUCCAGGUAGAUAACCUUAUUCACAGCCCAAAAUGAAACCACUAGUGAAACGACCAUAAUCGAUCUCUGGACUGUCACAUUCUUUACCAUUACAAGCACAUGAGUCACAAACGCUAACAAUAGCCCCACAAUGGUGUACAA